UGGGGUAGCUCAGUUGGGUAGAGCGUGGUGCUGAUAAUGCCAAGGUUGCAGGUUCGAUCCCCAUACGGGACAA